UACAAUCUUCAAUCGAGUCUGACCACUACACCUGCAACAUUCAGAUUGAAGGACAUCCUGCUGCAACAGAAGAGCAUCCUUUACACGCACCUUCGUCUAGUUGCUCCUCAUUUUCAUCCUCUAACCUUGAUACAGAGGAUGAGUUUAAUGGC